rnacentral:rRNA from 1 species
UACGUAGGGUGCAAGCGUUAAUCGGAAUUACUGGGCGUAAAGCGUGCGCAUGCGGCUUUGCAAGACAGAUGUGAAAUCCCCGGGCUCAACCUGGGAACUGCAUUUGUGACUGCAUGGCUGGAGUGCGGCAGAGGGGGAUGGAAUUCCGCGUGUAGCAGUGAAAUGCGUAGAUAUGCGGAGGAACACCGAUGGCGAAGGCAGCCUUCUGGGCCAACACUGACGCUCAUGCACGAAAGCGUGGGGAGCAAACAGG